CGACCUAACGCCGGCCCCGAGAAGAGCGGGGUCCGACAGCCGCCAGCUCCGGAGAUCCUGGCGGCUCCCGAGCGCUCACCGUCCCCUUACUACCCGAACCGCUCACCUGUUUGGGCUGGUCCUUACCGCAAAAGGGCUCACAGCAGCCUGAAACAAAACGACACCACGAGAACAUUAAAGAGAACAUUAAAGAGAACCUGAAGGCGCCGUCCCCCCCCCCCAAAAAAAACCCGCGUACCGCUUCUCAGCCUCAGCAGCACCAGGGCCCGACAAAGAAACAGAACUCACUCCGUCUCCCAUACAGAACCGCAGAAACUCCCCCGUGGCUCCCGGCAGCCUCCGGAGGAGCUUAAGAGGCUUUGGGGCGGGCCCCGCCCGCGGCUCCCGACGAGGCGCAGCUGCGCCCGGCCGGCCGCGGCCCCGCGGCACCUGGGAGUCGUUGCCUCGUUAGCGCAGCCGGCCUCGUUAGGGACGGCCCGGGGCUCUGACAGUUUGACGUGCGGACUCCGGAUCUGAAUUAGGGACUUAAAUUACACUUUAAAGUACAGUUUGUUACGCGCUUCUCCUUCUCGCCGCACUGUGGGAUUCAUCGAUAAAAUUUGCUGUUAACCACUUGCAAGAUACAAAGUGACGGCCAGCUGGAUGAAUAGGAGAAUGUAUGUGAACACCCGGAACUGACAGACCCGGCACGGUGCAUGUGGCUUGAAGUGGGCACUGAGAGAAAGCUCAGACAAUGUAUAUACAUGCUAUUAACAUUCACAUUAAUUUCCACUGGGACACGACUUAAUUAAGUUCAGGAACGCAUGCAAGUGUACUGUUCUUAUUAGAGGCACGGUCUGGAGAAGAUGGCCGGGGAGCUGAGCAUCAUUUCUACAUCAGCUGCUGAAGCGCCCACUAACUUUGGAUGUCGCCUAAACCUUCAGAUGGAAUCCUUGCAGGCAUUCCCGUGGGGAUCGGGAAAUUGCAGUAUGCCGGAACUACCGUUGCUGAUGUGGGGCGAGCGCUCUGAAGUGCACUUGGAGAAGAACGCAUUCCAACCCCGCAUAUAUGAAAAGUUUAAUAUUUUAGACAGCUAGAUGAAAUGCUGGGGUCUUGGUGCAUUUUGCUUUGGCGGUCCAGGCUUUUCAGCAUCUUAGGGAAAUGUUUGGAAAUGAAUUUUAUUUUCACAACUGUGGUACAAUUACAAGGCGGGGAUGUUUCACCCUUCUCACCGAGGUGCCCUUGGUGGUGGUGGUCUGUAAAUGGCUAUAGAACUGACAGAGAAGUCUGCAAGCAUUUUCUUCGGUUCUGAUUUUUAUUCUUAUUUGUUUUAACAGAGAGAUAAAAACCAGCAUUGUGCAUGUCCUUGCUCUGCGGGUUGGGGAUGUAUCGUUGUUGUUGUCGUUGUUUUCCUGGGAAGUAAAACAGGGUAGGAUAUUGGAAAUAAGGGCAAGUGGAUUUAUUGCUGAGCGAGUUGUA
rnacentral:lncRNA from 1 species